CAAAAGGCUCUUUUCAGAGCCAGCCACAUUUUCACAAGGAAAGCUG
rfam:Otolemur garnettii contig059043, whole genome shotgun sequence.